GACGAACGCUGGCGGCGUGCUUAACACAUGCAAGUCGAACGAUGAAGUUAUGACGGAGGCUUCGGCCGACAGAAUAACGGAAUAGUGGCGGACGGGUGAGUAACGCGUGAGUAACCUGCCUUUCAGAGAGGAAUAACAUUUGGAAACGAAUGGUAAUACCACAUAACAUUACGUUCUCGCAUGGGGAUGUAAUCAAAGAUUUAUCGCUGAGAGAUGGACUCGCGUCCGAUUAGCUAGAUGGUGAGGUAACGGCCCACCAUGGCGACGAUCGGUAGCCGGACUGAGAGGUUGAACGGCCACAUUGGGACUGAGACACGGCCCAGACUCCUACGGGAGGCAGCAGUGGGGAAUAUUGCACAAUGGGGGAAACCCUGAUGCAGCAACGCCGCGUGAAGGAAGACGGUCUUCGGAUUGUAAACUUUUGUUCUUGGUGAAGAUAAUGACGGUACCUAAGGAGGAAGCCCCGGCUAACUACGUG
rnacentral:rRNA from 1 species